rnacentral:rRNA from 1 species
GAUAGGUCUGCGGCCGAUUAGGUUGUUGUUGAUGUAACGGAUCAACAAGCCUCCGAUCGGUACGGGUUGUGAGAGCAAUAGCCCGGAGAUGGGUUCUGAGAGAAGAACCCAGGUCCUACGGGACGCAUCAGGCGCGAAAACUUUACAAUGUGCGAAAGCACGAUAAGGGAACUCUGAGUGCCUCCUAAGGAGGCUGUUCAGGUGUCUAAAAAGCAUCUGAAGGAAGGGCUGGGUAAGACCGGUGCCAGCCGCCGCGGUAACACCGGCAGCCCAAGUGGUGGUCAUUUUUACUGGGUCUAAAGCGUUCGUAGCCGGCCAGGUAAGUUCCUUGGGAAAUUUGAUCGCUUAACGGUCAAGCUUUCUGGGAAUACUGCGUGGCUUGAGACCGGGAGAGGUCAGAGGUACCUCAAGGGUAGGGGUGAAAUCCGUUAAUCCUUGGGGGACCACCAGUAGCGAAGGCGUCUGAUCAGACCGGAUCCGACGGUCAGGAACGAAGGCUAGGG